AUCUUAGUGGAAGGGCUUUACGCGUAUUAGUGAGGAAACAUCCGAGAUCGUGUUAUUGCUGGUUGAAAACUACCAACCUGACCUACUUCAAGUGGGCCUCUGGGAACACUUGGGAAUUUUUGAAACAAUACUGCCUCAUCUCCUUGACUCUUGAGUCCUCGAGUUUGAACAUU
rnacentral:snRNA from 11 species